rnacentral:tRNA from 5 species
GGGCCUGUAGCUCAAUGGUUAGAGCCGGCCGCUCAUAACGGUCUGGUUGGGGGUUCAAGUCCCUCCAGGCCCACCA